GACGGAGGGUGCAAGCGUUGCUCGGAAUCAUUGGGCGUAAAGGGUGCGUAGGCGGCUUUUAAGUCUGACGUGAAAGCCCAGGGCUUAGCCUUGGAAGUGCGCCAGAAACUGGAAGGCUAGAGUGCCGGAGGGGAGAGUGGAAUUCCUGGUGUAGCGGUGAAAUGCGUAGAUAUCAGGAGGAAUACCGGUGGCGAAAGCGACUCUCUGGACGGUAACUGACGCUGAGGCACGAAAGCGUGGGGAGCAAACAGG
rnacentral:rRNA from 1 species